UUCCUGUAGAAAUUAUAUACUGCUUAAAGCAAACAUAAAUAUGAUGCUUGACAAUAUGCCCAUUGGUUACUUAUUUGAUGUCCUGUUAAAAGCUCACUUGACAUUCUAAAGGACAUGUCAUUGAAGGGGUCUAGCCAAAGACACUAUAAUGAUAUUAUUCAUCAACAAGCUCAGCUCCAUACGAAAGUCAAAAGACCCACAUUUAAGCUGUACGAAUUUUGCGAAUCGUUGACUUCUACCUGGGCUGCCAACCAGUUGCAGCAGAUUGCCAAUUGGAGAGGUGUGCGCACACGAGGGCAGGCUGAAAAACUCGAAGAAAUGGCUUAAAGGAAGACAAAUGCAGACUAUUUGGAGGAAAUUCAGAGCAUAAGAAAAUUGGAGGACUGCUGGAAAAAUGGGGACAAUGCUUCAAAAUGAAAUAAAUCUAUACAAAAAGAUCGAUGAAAUAAAGGAUUGGCAUUAAAUUAAAUUAAAAAUCAAGGGGUUCAAUUAUACUAUUUUGGACUCGUAAGGACCGGUACUACCGCCGUACCGCCUACUGGCGUGCCCAAGGAUAAAAACAAUUAAAACAGUUGGUUCCUAGUUGAUCCAUAUAUCCUUGGUUAUGCCAUACCAUGGAUAUAGUCCUAGCGAACCUACAGGAUCUAAUUCUUGCCAGAUAUGGUCCAAAACAUGUAUUGUAAAUUUUCAAAUAAAUUUAAUUUAUGUUGUUAUCAUAAGAACAGGAAAAUUAAAAUAAUGCUAU